GAGGCGGGGCCGCGCCGGGGCGGGGCUGCGGGGGUCUCGCUGGGGCCGGCCCGGUGAGUCCGCGGCCCAGUCCGUUCAGAAUCUGCUCGGCAGGCUGUGUGCUCAGCCGGAGCCCAAAGCUCAUUCUUCUCGUUCUCGGACAAGCCAAGAGUCGGACUCUGAUUCAUUUCUGCGCACACAACAGAGCCCGGUGCCCUAAGGCGCUCAGCGAAUGCUAAUAGGACAGAUGGAUAAAUGGAUAAAGUCCCAUCUCCUUGUGAUGAGAAAGCCGAUGAGUGAAGAUCUACCGGCACACCAUUAGCUUCCAGAGAAGGUGUUCCUCUUCGAGAAAAGGGGUAGACCCCGCUGAUGCUGCUUUUUCUCGGCAGUGGAGCUCAUGCGUUUACCUUUGGACACACGUGUGACCCCUGGACCCGUAGCAGCCACUUGACAAUGAGCAAAGUCAGAAGCAGAUCCUGACUCUUCCAUCCUGGAGCCACCGGAUCAAGGCAGGGAAUCGCCUGCCUCCAGAUUCCCUGUGGAGGAGGAAAAGCAAACCCCCUUGGCUGUGUCAGCCAGUGCUGGUCAAUUUUUCUGUUACUUACGGAACUCCUAACCGACAUACAUAGGCAUUCAACACGUGUCUGUCACAUGGAGAAACCCAGCCUGACUCUCUCCUUCCUCAUCAGUGGCCAUCCUAUUUGGGCCCCACGAUCACUGACACGAA